rnacentral:rRNA from 1 species
AGAGUUUGAUCAUGGCUCAGGAUGAACGCUGGCGGCGUGCCUAAUACAUGCAAGUCGAACGGGAUUGCGUCCUUUGGGGCGCAUGAGAGUGGCGCACGGGUGAGUAACGCGUAACUGAUCUGCCCCGCAUUCCGGGAUAACCUUUGGAAACAGGGGCUAAUGCCGGAUGAUUUCCUGGUGGUUAGGUUCAUUGGGAGCAAAGCUUGGGCGAUGCGGGAUGGGGUUGCGUUCCAUCAGCUGGUUGGUGAGGUAAAGGCUCACCAAGGCGAUGACGGAUAGGGGAUCUGAGAGGGUGGCCCCCCACACUGGGACUGAGACACGGCCCAGACUCCUGCGGGAGGCAGCAGUAAGGGAUAUUGCACAAUGGGCGGAAGCCUGAUGCAGCGACGCCGCGUGGGCGAAGAAGGUUUUCGGAUCGUAAAGUCCUUUUCUGCGUGACGAUGAUGACGGUAGCGCAGGAAUAAGCGUCGGCUAACUACGUGCCAGCAGCCGCGGUAAAACGUAGGACGCGAGCGUUAUCCGGAGUUACUGGGCGUAAAGCGCGCGCAGGCGGAUGCAUAAGUCACCUAUGAAAGGCGCUGGCUAAACUGGCGGAUGUUGGGUGAGACUGUGUGUCUUGAGAGAAACAGAGGGGAGCGGAAUUCCGGGUGUAGUGGUGAAAUGCGUAGAUAUCCGGAGGAACAUCGGUGGCGAAGGCGGCUCUCUGGGUUUCCACUGACGCUGAGGCGCGAAAGCGUGGGUAGCGAACGGGAUUAGAAACCCCGGUAGUCCACGCCGUAAACGAUGCACAUUAGGUGUUCGGUCAUGUUAAGUGAUUGAGCGUUGCAGCAAACGCGAUAAAUGUGCCGCCUGGGGAGUACGGUCGCAAGGCUAAAACUCAAAGGAAUUGACGGGGGCCCGCACAAGCAGCGGAGCGUGUGGUUUAAUUCGAGGCUACGCGAAGAACCUUACCUGGGUUUGACAUGGCAGUAGUACGGAAGCGAAAGCGGAAGGACCUUCGGGGGCUGUCACAGGUGCUGCAUGGUUGUCGUCAGCUCGUGCCGUGAGGUGUUCGGUUAAGUCCGCAAACGAGCGCAACCCUCGGCGCCAGUUACAAGUGUCUGGCGUGACUGCCCGUGACAAACGGGAGGAAGGCGGGGACGACGUCAAAUCAGCAUGGCCUUUAUAUCCAGGGCGACACACACGCUACAAUGGCUGGCACAAUGGGUGGCGAAGGAGCGAUUUGGAGCGAAUCCUGUAAAGUCGGUCUCAGUUCGGAUUGCAGGCUGCAACUCGCCUGCAUGAAGUCGGAGUUGCUAGUAACCGCAAAUCAGCAUGUUGCGGUGAAUACGUUCCUGGGCCUUGUACACACCGCCCGUCACGUCAUGGGAGUUGGUCGAGCCUGAAGUCGGGAGGCGAACCUUUCGGGGGCGCUACUGCCUAGGGCAGGGUCGAUGACUGGGACGAAGUCGUAACAAGGUAACCGUA